GGGGGGAUAGACGGAUCAGAGAGAGGAUAGACAGACAUGGAUGAGAGAGAGAGGAUAGACAUGAGAGAGAGAGAGGAUAGACAUGGGAGAGAGAGAGGAGAUAGACAUGGGAGAGAGAGAGAGGAUAGACAUGGGAGAGAGAGAGAGGAUAGACAUGGGAGAGAGAGAGAGAGGAUAGACAUGGGAGAGAGAGAGAGGAUAGACAUGGGGAGAGAGAGAGGAUAGACAUGGGAGAGAGAGAGGAUAGACAUGGGAGAGAGAGAGAGGAUAGACAUGGGAGAGAGAGAGAGGAUAGACAUGGGAGAGAGAGAGGAUAGACAUGGGAGAGAGAGAGAGGAUAGACAUGGGAGAGAGAGAGAGGAUAGACAUGGGAGGGAGAGAUAGACAGACAUGGGAGAGAGAGAGAGAGGAUAGACAGACAUGGGAGAGAGAGAGGAUAGACAGACAUGGGAGAGAGAGAGAGGAUAGACAUGGGAGAGAGAGAGAGAUGAUAGACAUGGGAGAGAGAGAGAGAUGAUAGACAUGGGAGAGAGAGAUGAUAGACAUGGGAGAGAGAGAUGAUAGACAUGGGAGAGAGAGAGGAUAGACAUGGGAGAGAGAGAGAGGAUAGACAUGGGAGAGAGAGAGAGGAUAGACAUGGGAGAGAGAGAGAGGAUAGACAUGGGAGAGAGAGAGAGAUGAUAGACAUGGGAGAGAGAGAGAGAUGAUAGACAUGGGAGAGAGAGAUGAUAGACAUGGGAGAGAGAGAGAGAGACAGAGAGAGAGGAUAGACAUGGGAGAGAGUGAGGAUAGGCAUGGGACAGAGUGAGGAUAGACAUGGGAGAGAGUGAGGAUAGGCAUGGGACAGAGUGAGGAUAGACAUGGGAGAGAGAGAGGAUAGACAGACAUGGGAGAGAGAGAGGAUAGACAGACAUGGGAGAGAGAGAGGAUAGACAGACAUGGGGAGAGAGAGAGGAUAGACAGACAUGGGAGAGAGAGAGGAUAGACAGACAUGGGGAGAGAGAGGAUAGACAGACAUGGGAGAGAGAGAGGAUAGACAUGGGAGAGAGAGAG
ensembl:lncRNA